AUUUAUUUAAUAUAACAAAGUAUAUUUGACUUCCAAUCAAAAAGUUUAAUUCUUAAAAUAAAUA
rnacentral:tRNA from 1 species